ACAAUGGAGAGUUUGAUCCUGGCUCAGGAUGAACGCUAGCGGCAGGCUUAACACAUGCAAGUCGAGGGGCAGCGGGGACUUCGGUCCGCCGGCGACCGGCAAACGGGUGCGGAACACGUACGCAACAUACCCGCUACUGGGGGAUAGCCCGGAGAAAUUCGGAUUAACACCCCAUGGUAUGAUUGAAAGGCAUCUUUCGAUUAUUAAAAAUUCAUUGGUAGCGGAUUGGCGUGCGUCCCAUUAGAUAGUUGGCGGGGUAACGGCCCACCAAGUCGAUGAUGGGUAGCUGGUGUGAGAGCACGAUCAGCCACACGGGCACUGAGACACGGGCCCGACUCCUACGGGAGGCAGCAG
rnacentral:rRNA from 1 species